CUCAUUAUUCCCAUUUUUGUCCCCUCCAGUGAAGAGAUUUCAAACACUGCAGGUGGGGUGAAGGGUCUCCAUCAGUGAAUUCAUAAUAUCUGGAUGCUUUGGUCCAUUGCAUAUACAUGGUCAUGAGACUCCUAAAUUGGACAAUUAACUUAAAUGUCUGAAGCUGGAUGGUACUACUACCCUGGUAUAUCCACUAAAUAUCCACAUCUGCAGCAUAACAGAAGAAGCUCUACGUUCCUUAACUUAUAAAGGCUCAGCUCAGCAGCUACUGUGGAGUUACCAUGUGCUCUCAUCAGCCCCAAGGAUAUCUGAAACAUAAUAUUGCAUUUGCGGAACUGAAACUGUUUUGAAUGCCGAAGGGAUGAACAGAAUACUAUCAGGAAAUGGCUGGAGAGGUAUUUAUAGGCAACUGUGUAUCUGUGGAAAGAGAUGAGAGGGAAAAGGAGAAGGAAGAAUCACCAACAUGAGCCUAUGGAAAAGAAAUAUGAGUAUACUGUGCCAGGUCAAGUUCACAGAGGUUACAUUCACCCAAAAAUUCCACUUAACCUGUGUUUUGGGACUGUGUGUAUUCUCUGUCUAUUCCUAGGGAGAGAAUUUAUUCAUUUGUGCUUUGAGAGCAUUUCUGAAGCAAAAGACUCAUGAGAGAGAUCAGGUGGUAGAAAGAAAUCUGCAUUUACAGAUUUCUAGUGUCUUAAAUGUGCAUGCAAAGUAAAGACAGAAACUUUCUGAAAUAAAAAUUCUGAUUUCAAACUGAA